UUGUUAUUUUCUCCUGCACUGGCUUUGAUACCAAGUUAAGAAAUGAAGCUUUUAGUUUCUUAGUGAAGGAAAGCUGGACAAUUCAUAGCUUGUGUUUUUCAUAUUUAAUCAUCAAGAGAGUUACAUAAUUUAUAGAGCUUAGCAGCUCUUCUACAGGAGUCCAAAACAUACAUACACACCACAAGAAAACAAGGAACAAAUUGCAGAGGAUCAA
rnacentral:lncRNA from 1 species